AUAAAACAGGGCUGCAGAGGGCAGAGAGACACCACACUACUACUGAAGACCAGAAGACAUCAUCCAGACAAACAGCCAUCAAUCAGACAGCAUCGUCCAACUGUAAGAGUAAACGAUGAAGAUUCAGAGUAUGUUACUGCUGUUCGCUCUAGUGGGUGUCCUGUUAGCAAGCUCCCUCAAUGAAGAUAACUCUGAGGAAGCUCUCCUGCAGGAGGAUGAUGUAAAAGGUGUAAAGGCUGCCUUUUUGGCAAAGUUGGCUUCUCUGAAGAACAGCGCCUCUGAAGAUGAAGCACCA